AAAAUGGGUGUGGUACAGAAACCCAGAAAUGGCACAAGUUCAACAUGAAACAUGGAUUAGAUUUUAACGGGGGAUCAAAUCAAGUCUGGAAGUGUUACAGGAUGGAAGAGUGAGCCUACAGAUGAAAAAACACUGAGAGUGCAUUACCGUAAGGUGUGAGGUAAAUUAAUAGAGUAAUGCAAAUUGCCUAAUGAGAAGUACCAUCUUGUGUUAAUGAAUCCAGUACAACAGCAAUCCUUUAUAGUUCUGUCACAGCUAGAAGCCUCAAAUAAUUCUGCUUCUCUGUCUAAAGAACAACUUGUCCUUUAUGUUCAGAGUGUUGGGGAAACUGGGUAUUUAAAUGGCCCUAAAGAUGUUUUAAUUUUGCUGCUAUUGCAGAGAUGAACAUCAUACAUGGACUCUUUAGGUCUUAUCUACCAAAAAAAAUUUUAUCCAAUAGGAAAGGAUUUUCAUGUACUGGGAAAACAACUAUCAACAAUGCAACAUUCUACAGGUGCUAGUUUAUCAUUCAAGAGCCUUAUACAAUGAAGUUAAUCUGCAAUUUGUAUGUCCUUUCCCAAGCUUCCACCAGAAGUUGAAUCUAUGAGUCAUGUAAGUUCCAUGAUCAACAAUUGAUGUGUUUAACGGUGUUGUUUUUCUUUUCUCAAUAUAGGUUAAUAGUAACAUUGGAUCUGAAAAGAUUCUUGGUUGGGGCAAGACACUGAAUAAAUUGUAUUGAUUGGAUGGAUGACAUGACAUUGCUAUACUUAAUUCGGAUUCCCCAGACGGUAUUUGAUAUUUAAAAAAUUGAAGUGCAUAUCUGGGCUCCCUUCUUUUCUGAAGCCCCGUUUCCCCUUGACUCAUAAUAAGCCCGUAGGGGGUCAUGCCCCUACUGUACGGUAUAUAUAAAAACAACAUAUACCGAGGUUUG